CCUACGGGUGGCAGCAGUGAGGAAUAUUGGUCAAUGGACGAGAGUCUGAACCAGCCAAGUAGCGUGAAGGAUGACUGCCCUAUGAGUUGUAAACUUCUUUUAUAUGGGAAUAAAAUGUUCCACGUGUGGGAUUUUGUAUGUACCAUUUGGAUAAGGAUCGGCUAACUCCGUGCCAGCAGCCGCGGUAAUACGGAGGAUCCGAGCGUUAUCCGGAUUUAUUGGGUUUAAAGGGAGCGUAGGUGGAUUGUUAAGUCAGUUGUGAAAGUUUGCGGCUCAACCGUAAAAUUGCAGUUGAAACUGGCAGUCUUGAGUACAGUAGAGGUGGGCGGAAUUCGUGGUGUAGCGGUGAAAUGCUUAGAUAUCACGAAGAAUUCUGAUUGCGAAGGCAGUUCACUGGACUGCAACUGACACUGAGGCUCGAAAGUGUGGGUAUCAAACAGGAUUAGAUACCCUAGUAGUC
rnacentral:rRNA from 1 species